GGACGGCGAAAUUCCCUUGCAUAGUUUCAAAAGGAAUAUACUGUUCAAAACAACUACAGCACAAAAUUGUGUAAUUCUGCAAAAUCAAGCGAAUGCAAAUACUGAGAUAAAUGGUACUUGUUCUAUGUUCUAUGCGACCUGCUGUUUCUUGCUCUUCUUCAGGCAUUUGCUUCUUUCUACAGAUUUUCUUCUCUUGGGACUGCACAUUUCACCAUCGUUGUCUGGCUCCUCGUCCCGUUCAAUAGUUCUACUCUUCUUUUUCUUUUUUUUCUUUUUUUCUUUUCUAGCAUACAUUUCACCAUUAUUAUCACUAUGGUCGACCACUCCAACUUGUUCUUCGUCCUCUUCAGUUGGUCUGCUCUUCUUUUUCUUCUUUUCUUUUCGGACUUCAGCCUCCGCCUCCACUAAAGACUCCAAUUGCUUGAAUUUCAUCUCUCCAGGCUCUAGAGCAAUAAUAGUGUUAGCAUGGGACCACGCAGAUGCCCUUGGAGAAAAUGGGAUUAAUGAAAAAUGCCAUUUCAGGUUUACAAUCUAAAAAGGUUCUAAUGACAAAAGGGGGCUGCCAUCUCAACCACCAUGUUAUUCAGGUAUGUGAUUGUUUACAUUGCCUAUUGUUAAACUUCUUCUAAACUAAGAAAUUGCAUUUGAAACUACGAACAACAAACAAUUGAUGUGCAGUGACAACUGUUGUGAAUAGAUAAUAACCUUCAACAGAAAAAUGUGAAUCAAGGACCACCGUUGUAAGGUGCUGCUUCAGAAAGACCUGCAUGAGAACAAAACAAGACAACUAGUUAAUCAUAGAAAUAGCUUAAAAUAUAUUAGAAAUCAUUCAUUUACAUCGAAGUAGACAUUUGAAACAAGUAUACUAUCAACUGCCAGUGACCACCAAGUUACUUCAUUUUGUUUGUGAAAUGAAAUGGAGGCCCAAAAUUAGUUCGUAAUGCAGCAAAACAAAAUUAACUCCAAUAUGUGCUUGAAUGUUAUGUCAGCCCUCAGCAGUUCUCGAACUUACAGCAGAUAGCAACUGUCUUGUGUUUGUGUCCCAGAUACGUAAGUAGCUAUCCAGUCCUACAAAGACAAACAUUUCCUGAGUUAUUCAUAAUUCUGAAACUUGAUGUUUUAAUUUGUAACAGAAACUAUCUAGAAUGCCAAGUGAAACAGGCAUCCCAGUAGAAAGAAUCUAAGCCUUUCUGGAGGUAGUCUUACCGCAAGAUGCUAUCAAAGGUAGCUCUGGAUGCCUAACAAUAGAUCUAAUACUUCCACUGCAUUUGCCAAUAUAGCAUCCCAGCAAUUUCCCUAAAAUGUGGGGGAAAUGUUGAUUUUGCAAUUUUAGUAUCAGAUAAAAAUUGAAGUAACAGUACUGAUAAUAAAACGGUCAAAUUUAGCUCAUCGCCGCUUGCACAUGUGAUACUUGCAACCAUUUUCUUCCUGUUAGUGUUACUGAUAACCUAUUUUCUCUCCUUAACAACCAUCUAAACAACAGUUCUACACAAGUGUUACUAAUAACCUAUUUUCUAUCCUUAACUACUAUCUAAGCAACAGUUUUACACAAAUUAUAGCCCAUGUUCAGCCUGCCCACAAUGUAUAUUCCUAUCAGUACACAUGUAGGUCAGCAUUGUUUUAGUUGGAAUACCACCUUAGAUGCAGACUACAGGCUAACAAAAGAGAGAAAAACUUAAGUAGCAACAGUGGAACAGAAGGUGCAUUGCCAGUUGUAACAAUCCAACACUACAAAAAAUAGAAACUGAACUAACAUAACAUUCUAAAGAAUGUGUCAUAUGAUCAAGUUUUCAAUUCUGAUUAAGAAGAGGGUACUAGCAUAUAGCAGCAUGCCAGCAUCUUACCUGUUCUCAUGUCGAAAGAAGCAAGGUCCCCUGUUCCUGUGCCAAUAUAGACAUCAUGCCCAUUUGGAUCAGCAGCAACUGCCUUGAUUGGUGACUCCCUAAAAUCAACAGAGACGGCAGGUCUUCUUUGCAAUGCAGUAUCAUAUAAGCGGACCUGAAAAGGUAAACAACGUUCGCAUAAAAUGAGUAUCAUCAUCAUCAUCAUUCAUUAGCAAAAUAUGGAGAGAUACCGGUGCCUUUACAUGAACAUGCCUUGCUAAUCUACUGCCUACAAGACUGUAAUGACACAAGUGCAAUAAAUUUCCCAGUACAACCCCCCAGUCAGUUAAUAGAUGCCUGAGUCACCAAGUGGGUUGUGAAGGUUGAUGUGAGGACCUGGUUAACCAGUUUAUGCAAAGCAAGAAUAAAAGUGUAAGAAGGAUGCUAGCUAUCUGUAGGCCUGUCACAUUGGAGGUAUGCCUUUGGGCGAGUUCUUAGCCUGGCAUAUUAGAGCAUCUCCAUCAGAUCCUAUCCAAUCUCCUAUAUCUAAGAAGUUGGGGUUUAGGAGAGGAAGGAGCUGCAACAGAUCUCCUAUAUCUAUAAUUUUACGAGAUCUCCUAAAAGAAGCAUAAUUUCUCCAAAAUAAAGGAGAUAAUUCUUCUCCCCUAUAUCCCUAAAAAAUAUGAGACAAGUUUAGGUAAUCUGCUGCGGCAGUACUCUCCUAUAUCCUAAAUUGACUUUAGAGUACUCCCUUAAAACAACUUAUAGAAGAUAUGACAUGAGAAAUCUGAUGGAGAUACUCACAGCUUAAAAACGUCAUGCAUUUAAACAAAUACGCAUAAACUUCGAAGCAAAAAACUAGCAUCCUUGCAGCUCAGGCACAUGAUAAUCUAUUUGAUCAAAAUAUGUUCAAUCUGUUGGAGUUUUUUUCUUUCAUAGCAAGAGAUACAAGCAUCAGUUUACAUUACCUGAUGAUUAUUUGUGCAGGCAACAAUUUUACGAUGAUCAUUCUUGCACAAGAAGGUUCCAGCAGUGAACCAAGGUCGAGUGAAUAUGCCAAGACUAUUUGCUCGGGGCUUCAGAUGAAACAAAGGAAGAAAAUCAUUUAAUAAAUGAUGAAGGUAUCUAUAUUAGUAUCAAAGAUAAAUUAAAGAAGUCAAUGAGUGCUUACAGAUUUAGCAGACCAUGUCUUACUACUAGAUGUGAUAUCCCACAAGUUCACUUCUAUGCCUUUCCUACAACAAACGGAACCAUUAUUUAUGAAACUUGAAAUUUGCUUAAAGGUUUUCAUGUCAAAUAGCAAGUAUGAUGAACAAAGGCAAUAACGCUCAAAUACAAAUUUUGAAAUAAAACAGAUAAACGCCAUUUCAGAUUCUUUAAGCUCACCCUCCAAAUAUCACAUAGCUUUCGCCAUGAUCUACUGAGCAAAAUUGCACAUUGGCCCCAUUGCACACAUCCCAUGUGGCUGAUGGCCCAACAUCCGAACCCGAAUCUGCAUUUUCUUUCGUGAUGGACCUGAUAGAAGCUUUCCCCUUCUCCGUGCAGGCAAGAAAUGUGCCUAAGCUGCAAUGCACAAUUGGGUCAACAUAGCUUGGCCCCCAGCUACUAACAUGAAUGAACCAUGAAUCUUACACAGUAUGUGUAAGCAUAAAGAUGGGGCAUAGCAUAAACUAAAACCCUAGGAUGAUAACAGAUGGAACAAUUUCAGAAUGAAAAUUUACAUCGAGUCCGAAGUCUGUCUUGCGAAAAGAUGCAGUGCGGCGAGGGGAUCACCUUCAGCGCCACUGUCAUUUGGCGCUGACCCCGCGGUCUUGACAGCAGCCAGAGCACUUCCAUUCAAGGGAUUCAGCAGCUCAACCUACACGAAAUCACCUCAAUCAUUCGCUAGUCGGGACAUCGCAAGUGGUGAGCGCCCCAUGUCCAAAGAGUAGCAGCUACUCACCACGCCGUUCCUCCUCGCCACAGCCAAGACCUGCAGAAGAGCGGCACAUAGCGCAAAUUAGAGGCACGCCUUGAUUAUCAAUGGAUCUGAUAAAAGUCUCCAGUAGUCCAGUCAGCAAGGAGACACGGGCAGGGACGCUCACGGGGUCGGCGGCACGAUCGGCGAGGGAGGCAGCAACGAUGGCACGGGAAGCGUCAGGCGCGCCCCACGUCUCGACGACCUUGGCGGCGCCCGCCGGCCUCGCGUGGGCCUCGACGACUGCAACCAGCCGGGAAAUGGGUGGAGUCAGUGCUACGUAGCAGCGAAAAGACGACGAGGGGGCAGGCGGCGGAGGGGAAGGGGGAGGGUCGCUGGCUACCUUUGACGAGGCCGAGGAUGUCGGUGGUGAGGGCGCGGAGCGGCGGGCAGCCGGAGCUCUCUACCACGGUGGUCCGCGGCAUCCUUAGCUCCGCGCUCGCUUCGGCUCGCCGGCGCGGUGGGCUACUGUUUUUCUAGGGUUUUACUACGACGUGCCGUGCCCGCGCGGAGGUGGCAGGGGCGCGUUCUCCGCGACAACGAGUACAGUACAUGGAUUUGACGGGCCGGGCCGUGGAAAAAGCCAGUCGCGCUAGAGUUUCAGCCUGGCCAGGUGGUGCUUAGAAUUUCCUCAAACAAACAAAGGUGGUGGCGUGAGCAGUCGCAGAGUGUGGCUUUUCUCCGUGUUCGGUCCUGAUCGUCGACUGUGGUGCAAGGGGCUCUUAUUUGCAAGCGUGCAAACGAGCAUUUUCAUUUUUUGGUUUGAUAGCUUACGGUGGAUUGAAUUUUAGUACAUAAGCUCUUCCACAAGCAUCAUCCCUUGAACAGAUCGAACAGAGUCGUCAGCUCCGCGGGCGUCCAUGGCAGUUCCACCGGAAGCGACACUCCGGUUAUUCAUUCAUGGAGUGCCCCAUGCCGGGCGCCAGGGAGACCUAGCGUGAGUCGUCGGGGCGAGCUGCGUCACGCGCCAUGGUCCAUCGUUACCUCACUGAGAUCUCCGUGCGCCCCCUUGUCGCCUGCAGCCGGUCCACGACGAUGACGUGCUCGCCCCAAUCACUCAUGGACGAGACAUCGCCUCCCCUGACCGAUGUCAUCCAAGACCCCGCCUCCCCUACAUCAUCAACGCCUUUGUUCAUUGCUGCAACUGGCACUCUCGGCAUCACCCAAUUGUUGCUGGGCACUCCAGGCCCCAAUCUAAGAAAUCUUUUUUGCAGGUGUCAAUACAAGAACCUGAAGUUAUGGUUGCUUGCUUAUUAUGUAUCCCUACUUCUGGUGGCAGUAAAGCUAACUGGAAGUAUCAGCGAAGCGUUGAGUUAUUGCGAUCAUCAGAGUGUUAUAGGUUCACAUUAGUUGUUAACAAAUAUGACAAGAUGAUCCACCAUGAGUUAGUUCUCCUCUCUCAGAUGUGCUUUGUAAUUCCAAUAGAUGUCAAUGCACAACUUUUUUCAUCAGAGAUUGGCAAUGUGCCAUUUCAAAAAUCAAAACUCAGCGCUUUGUACUAAAUUGUUGUAACUUAUCACUAUGUUUGUAUUGUGCCAUUUGUAAUUUAUGUACAAUUUUGAUACAUGGAAAAUUAAUGUAGUACUUUUGUAA
rnacentral:lncRNA from 1 species